ACUAUUCCCUUGGAUCUGGCUUCCCAAAGUCUUUUUGCUUUCACCUGGUCAGACCCAGAUACUCACACAUCUACCUAACUAACAGACUGUACUCCCACAGGGGUUCCGGGAUAGCCCCCUCCUAUUUGGGCAGGCUCUCACCAAGGAACUAAUCGAGCUUCCCCUUGCUCCUAGCAGCCUCCUUCAAUACAUCAAUGACCUCCUUAUGUGUAGUCCCUCCUUUGAUCUAUCCAUCAACACAUCACCCAACUUCUAAAUUUCCUCUAUGGCCAGGGAUAUCAGGUUUUACCUACAAAGGCUCAAGUAGCCCAAACCCAAGUCACUAACCUUGGACUCACCCUAACCCCUAAUUCUUGAGCCAUGCCAGCCCGAUGGAAGGAGCUAAUACAGGAUGUGCCCCUUCCCCACACCAAGAAGGACCCUUCCUUUUUGGGCCUUGUUGGGUACUUCCAGCUGUGGAUCAUUAACUUUGGCCUGUUGACCAAACCACUCUGCACGGCAUCACGUGGGUCCAUCCUAGAACAUUUGGACCCAGCUUGCCCAUUAACUCCCACUUCUAAAAACUGAAAGAUGCCCUUUUAAUGUCCCAGCACUAGGACUACCCAAUUCCAUUAAACCCUUUACCCUGUAUGUUCAUUGUAAUCAAGGCCUUGCCCUUGGAUUUCUCUGCCAAACCCGUGGCAACACUCCAGAAGCCAUUGCAUACUUCUGAAAACUGGACUCUAUCAUCCAAGGCUGGCCUCCAUGCUUGAAAGUUCUGGAUGCAGCUACAUUGCUGGCCUCAGAGGCACAAAAACUCACCCUCUACCAGCACAUUACUAUUGCAUCUUCCCAUAACUUAUGGGACCCCAUGAGCCAUUGAUCUCUUCUUUUCCUCCUGCCAUCCAGCUUACAGCAACCCUCUAACACCUUCCAGAGAUGUAAAAUUCUAAAUCCAACCACCCUCCUCCCUAUAAGUACUUCCAAUUCUGAAUCCCCCACUCUUGCCUAGACCUCUUAGCCUCCCUCUCCUCCCCUUUCCAACACAUUUCAGAAGCCCCUUUGCGGAAGGAACCCACAUGGUUCAUUGAUGGAAGCUCUUUUAAGGAACCAUAUCUGGCAGCUGGCUAUGCCAUCAUUGCCGAAAACAAACUCCUAUAAUCCAAUGCUCUCUCAUCACAUAUCACCUCACAACAAGCGGAACUAUUUGCCCUAACCAAGACCCUCACUCUAGCAAAGGGAAAGAGGGUCAACAUUUACACCAAUUCCAAAUAUGCAUACCAUGUCCUACAGUCUCACACUGUAAUCUGGCAGGAAAGGGGUUUUUCUAACUACAAAAAGAACCGCCAUAAUAAAUGGCAAACUCAUACACAAGCCGCUGGAGGCAGCUAAACUACCACUAGAGGCCGUCAUUAUCCAUUGCAAGGGACACCAAAAGGCUACAGAUGCCAUAACCAAGGGAAACUUCUUAGCAGAUUCGGCAGCCUGGCAGGCAGCCCUUAGAACACUAUUGUUAUUGCCCAUUUUCCCUAGCAUACACCCAAGAAGAAAAAGGUGCCUUGCUGGCUCCAGGGCUGUUCAUAACGAAAGCUGAAUUUACUUAGACUACAAACUCAUCCUACCCAAGACCCAAAAACUUUCUGUUCUCACCCACAUCCAUAACCAAUUCCAUGCGGGUUAUCUCCCGUUGCUCCAAUUUCUAAAAACCUGUAUACAUUCCCUUACCAUGGCCAUCAGCUUGGACCGCCUCACUAAAGGUUGCUCUGCCUGCAGUCAGACUUCCCCUCAGGGGCCCUUAGACCACCUCCUUUUCCCUCCCUUCAGGCCCAAAGGCCAGUUGCCGGGACAGGAUUGGCAAAUUGACUUCACUCAUACGUUCCCCCAUAAAGAAAGUCUGAUAUCUCCUCACGAUGGUAGAUACCUUUUCAGGUGGAUAGAAGCCUUUCUUACUACCACUGAAAAGGCACACACCAUUGCCUCUACCUUCCUCACACACAUCAUCCUUUGAUUCAGCCUCCCCUCAUCUAUACAACUGGACAAUUGACCAGCAUUUAUCUCCCAAGUCACUCAACAGGUUUCUAAGUCUUUAAACAUCAUAUGGGUUUUUCACAUUCUCUAUCACCCCCAAUCCUCGGGUAAAUUUGAACAGGCGAAUGCCCUCUUAAAACAACAGUUAACCAAACUUUCCCUAGAGAUCAAAAUGAAAACUGAAUAUCACUUCUUCCCUUGGCCCUUAUGUGCCUCAGGGCCCUCCCCCGAAAACCUCUAAAUCUAAGUCCUUUUGAACUUUUGUAUGGACGUUCUUUCGUCCUACAGAACUUUGCUCCAUCCCCUCCCUUACAGGACACCUGGCCAGCACUGCACCUCACUCAACACUUAGUCCGACAGUACACUGACACUCACCUCCCCAAACCUGAGGAUUCUUCCCAAUUCACUUUCUUACCCUUACAGCCAGGAGACUGGGUCUGGGUAGCACACCCCUCCUCCCCUUUCCAACAAAAUGGAAGGGUCCCUAUCAGGUUAUAUUCACCAUCCCCGCUGCUGCAAAGUUAACAUCCUUUCCCUAUUGUAUACACCAUUCCAAAUUUAAAAAGGCACCCGGCCCACACCCCGAAGUCUCCUCACCCCGGAAAUAUUCUUCCUUUCCCACAGGACCAACCUCGCUGUGCCUAACAAGAAUUCCAGAAGUCACCCAUCCGAAAGGCACUGGCCCAUGACACUCUCCACUUCCAAUCUUAAAUCUUUUACUUCAUACCUUGUCUCAGAUCUCUCCUGGUACCCCUUCCCCACGCCCUUAGAUAAUCCAUCUCAAUUCCUCAUGCUAAUUGAGGAGCUAUGGCUGCAAGGCACCUUCCAGGAUUUCACACCUACACAAAUCUCCUUUUUCUCCUUUUGCCUUCUCUGCUUAUGGGAUAUUCUGAGUCCCCACCCCCAAUCACUGACAGCUGGGCCCCCUUCAUCAGCCUCACACACCACGUAUUAAGUCAGUCACAAUCUCCCCUCUCCUCUAACUGCUGGAUUUGUCUUUCUACACACACCCAAUGAUUCACGGCUCUUCCGGCUGACCUACUUACAUGGACACAGUCCAACGUGAGCUUACACAUUUCUUACUUGGCUAUACCAUUCUUGGCUGAUUCAUUCCUGAAACCGGUUCAUAACCUGGAAACUCAGCUAAACACCUUUCCUUCAAACUCAGCUCUCUCAGCAUGGUUUCAGGUAGGGCUGUUGCCCUCCUUCACCUAAUAGCUUCUGGACUAACAUCCAUACAAACCAACACAGCAUCAUCUAAACCACCAAUAUGGGGGUACCAUUUCUACUCAAACUUCCUUCAUAUCCCCACCCCCCUUAUGUCUCAGCCGAACCUACCCUAAUCCAGCCCACGCCACAAUGGUGGGACAGGUUCCCCAGUCCCUAUGUGGUCUUAUUUUUACCCUUGCACUCCCUGUAGACCAUCAAUUCUACACCCUAAUUACAAAAUCAUAUCCACCUCUGCCUGGCAGAAGGUGUUAUGCUUUUCUGGCUCGCCUACCAUCCACACAUCCCUACACCUCACCACCGGAUCCUCUUUUCUUUCCUUCCAUCCAAUUCCUGGCUUCCCCGCUGCCAACUCUGCUCUCUAUGUCUCCAGUUUAAAGGUGCCCCCUGGAAAAAAUGUAACAAUUCCCUCACCUGUGACUGGUACCUGACAGCCACCACACCGGGGCAGCAAUGGCUAACGGUUGACAAAGACAAUUUCUUUCUCUCUCCAAAACCAAACAGCCUUCAUCAACUCCCUAGCCAAGACUCCCUAUCAGGCCCUUACAGGUGCCGCUCUGGCUGGCAGUUACCCAAUUUGGGAAAACGAAAAUACCCUAUCAUGGCUACCUACCUUCACCUACAACUUCUGCCUGUCCACCCCCAGUCUCUUCUUUUUGUGUGAUACAAACUGAUAUCUUUGCCUACCAGCCAACUGGUCAGGAACUUGCACCCUGGUCUUUCAGGCUCCAACCAUCAACAUCCUACCCCCUAACCAAACUAUUCUAAUUUCUGUAGAAGCCUCUAUCUCCUCUUCACCCAUAAGAAAUAAAUGGGCUCUACAUCUCAUCACCCUGCUAACAGGAUUAGGCAUCACUGCUGCACUUGGCACUGGAAUAGCAGGCAUAACCACCUCAAUCACCUCAUACCAAACACUAUUCACAACCCUUUCUAACACCGUAGAAGAUAUGCACACUUCCAUUACCAGUCUCCAACGACAAUUAGACUUCCUCGUGGGAGUCAUCCUUCAAAACUGGAGAGUCCUGGACCUCCUAACCACUGAGAAAGGGGGUACCUGCAUAUACCUCCAGGAAGAAUGCUGUUUCUGUGUUAAUGAAUCUGGCAUUGUUCAUAUCGCAGUUCGUAGGCUUCAUGACAGGGCUGCAGAGCUUUGACAUCAAGUCGCUGACUCCUGGUGGCAAGGAUCAUCCCUUCUAAGAUGGAUACCCUGGGUUGCCCCCUUCCUAGGACCCCUGAUCUUCCUCUUCCUGUUACUAAUGAUUGGGCCAUGCAUAUUUAACCUUGUAUCCCGCUUCAUUUCCCAAAGGCUGAAUUGUUUUAUCCAGGCAAGCAUGCAAAAACACAUUGAUAAUAUAUUUCACCUUUGCCACGUCUAAUACCAGAGCCUACGAGGAAACCAUUCGGAAGCUCCAGAACCCAGGCCCUAAUCACAACGCCCCUAUCCAGCAGGAAGCAGCCAGAUGAUCAACGACGCCCUUUUUCCUUUUUAUACUAAAGUAAGAAAUAAGAAUGUUAGCCCAAACUGCACUAUUUUGCAGACCCCUACCAUUUUACAAACUGGUCAGAGUGGAAAAUUCCACCAGGGCCUGAGCUGUGAGAAACAUCCUGUCAGGCAGGUCCCAGGCCUAACCCCUGGCUGCACUAAAUUCCUUCAUUAUCAGCAGCCAAACACACCGCCCCCACCCCAUUUUCACAACAAUCCCAGACCUCUCCUGCCCGGGACUGUAACUGGUCCAGCCUGUAAGCGGGAAGGGGGCUCUGGCACUAGCUGGUACCCCCUCUCCGCAGGUCUUUCUCCCAAUAAAUCUGUGUUGCCAUU
ensembl:lncRNA LINC01278 long intergenic non-protein coding RNA 1278